rnacentral:lncRNA from 1 species
GAACAGAGCAUUGCAUAGUGUUUUCUACUACUCUAUGUGAUCUUAGGCGAUGGCAAAUAAUAGCAUCCUCCAAGUAUUCACAGUUUUUCUCAUUGCGCAAGUUUGCUUACUUAUGGUGAUUGCAGCACCGGUAGCGCAGGCAGCUGGCAGGCUUAUGCGACCCAAUCCAAUUUGCUGCCCUAAGGAAAUCUUUUGUUGUGCAUUCGGUGGCAUGAUGUCCAAUGGAACUGUAUCCUCCACCAAUCCUUGAUGUGUUGUUUCAUUCUCCUCCGAGCUAGAAGCUAGGGCCUAUAAAAUAUGCUUCAACAUGGCCGUGUUGUUUCUUAUAUGUAAUUUGUGUUACUAGUUUCAAGAAAUAUUAUGUGUAAGCUAUUUUGCUAAUAAAAGUGGGAGGAGAUUGUUAUCUAUGUUGUUUGCAAUGUGCCGCAAAGAGAUUUGAAAUUAUGUUUAAUAUAGUGUUUUGAGAGGGUCAUAUCAUCCUAUAUUUUCAUGGUUAAACACAUGUUACGAUAAUAAAGGUACCAUCAGUAGUUGAUUCCAGUUUAUGACUAAACAUAGCAGUUUUUUACGACAGUUUCAUUUUUUCUUAAGGUGUCCUUGCUCUUUUAUAAUUUUCAAAUUUUGCAUUUUCACCGGUGUUUCUUUUUUCUAGCCCAAUUAUGCUUUAUCUCAUUUUUGGCGUUCCACCCAAUGCCUUAAAGCAUCUCCAGCCGUUGGUAUCCCAGGGGGCUCAAAAAAUCACUUCCUGGGGGCAACCCGGCGAAAAAUUCGGCUUGGGGAAGAUUUGGUUCCCAGCCACCGGCCCUAGGGUCGCCCCAGAAGGCGAUUUUAAUUUAUUUUUAAGACAUUCGGCUAAAUUUCGGCAAACGGGCAUAAACUAGGGCGACUUUAAAGAGUUUUUUACAUAGCAAACUUAAAAAAUAAAGGCCUAGUCUACAGGAAGAAUGCGCUGAGCGUGGCGAAGUCACCGCCGUCGCCGCCGUCGCCGUUGUCCUCGUCGUCGUCCUUCUCCUCCUUGAUGCGGCCGCCCGUGUUGGACCCCUGCCCAGGGUCGCCCUGGCGGACCGGUGGCGGCACGUAGUCGUCCUUGUCGUCGUCGAGGAUGACGACGCCUCCCUCGCGGCCGCGACGAUGAGCGGCGAACUACUGUAGGGCGCGGCAUUGGCGUUCUACCUCCGUCCACUCCCAGUCUUCGCGCGUCCACUUCAAGGCCGCCUCGUCGGAGAGCCCUGGCUCCGUCUUCACCGCCGCGAGGCCUGGCUCCGUCUUGACGGCGGCGAGCCCCGGCUCCAUCUUCGGCCUGACGAAGCGGGGAGGAGCCGAGGAGGAAGCGCGACCGCCAUCAUUGAUACUGAUACCGGCCGAGCGGCGUAUCGGCGGGCUCGGCCUUGACGCUGAGCAACGCCGGCGACUCGGAGUAGGAGGAAGAAGAAGAUGCCGUCCUCCUCGGCAUCUAGUGGCCGCCGCUACGGGGCAGGGCGGCAGGGUACCUCAAGGGCGGGUCGUUGCCACCCUCGAGGUACUCGAGAACGGCGUGAAGCGAGCAGCCGGGGCGCCCCACCACAGGUGGCGCCCCUCGCUGUUCUUGGUGCCUCGCACCACCGGUGCCGCAUUGGUGGAGGCGAGCCGCCACGCCUGCCGGUGCUGGAAGUACGCCGCCCAUGCCUCGUGGUUGUCGGCGACGUACUACGAGAGGACCCGCUGCUCGUCCGUCAGCGACGCCCGCACGUGGUCGACCUCGACGGCGAAGUAGUCGGGGCGCACGUCGACGUUGGGCACCGGAGGAAUGGGGACGCCACCGGUGCUGAGCCUCCACCCCCCGGCCCUGCGCGCAUGUCGAGAGGCGCCGAGAUGUGGGCCUCGAAGAGCAGGUAUGCUUCCCACUCAUGCAGAGAGCGACGGCCGAAGCCGUUGGCCGCCGCCCCGUUGAUGUGGAAUCGCUCGCCCAUCGACAUGGCGGGGAAGAGGGAGCAUGCUUGGGGAGAGAGGGGGGACAUCGGCGGCGGCUGUGCACGGGGAGAGAGGCAGAGCUCGGCGGCAGCCGUGGGCGGGUGUGGCCAGAGACGAGGGGGAGGCGUCACUUUUAUAGCCGGGCGCCGUGUGUACGCGUGGCGGGAGGGGGGCGUUGCCGCGUCGCCCAUGAGGGAGCGCCGCCAAUGAGGAAUUAAUGGAAGGCUGACCGGCGGCAGCCUUGGCAUUGAUUCCUCGCGAGAAACCGAGGCGUUGUGAGGACGACGAGGCGAGUGUCGCUAACUUGGCAGGCCCGCAGUUUGUUCGUGCCAAAAUAGCUUGCCCUGGCGUCCCGCAGCGGGCCGGGUUCGGCCUGGGUCCGCCAGUGCCAGUUUCGGCCCAAACCGGCGAAAAACGGACUCCUGAGACACGACUGAGCCGAUUUUGAGCGCUGGCGCGAAAAAAAACGCUGGAGGGAUGUGUUUAGGGCGCGACUGGAGAUGCUCUUAACACCCAAACCAUACAUGUGUACCGACCCAAUUUAAAUGAGGAACAAUUGUCAAGGCGUCAUGCCUGCUCAUGUAUUUGAACACUUCGUUCAGUCGAUUGUUUUUUCGCAUUUAGAACAUCUACAACCAGACUUACCAUAUCUCACACCCUAGCUAUAGACACGUCCGCGACAGUGACCAGGCAAUUCAUAAUUUCCCGUGUCCGCAAUCAUGUAUCUCAUCUCUGGCACCCCGUAUUUUAUAUAAAAUCAUGCAAUAUAGUAUGUAGAUCACCGGACGACCAAAUUCGAGCUGGUUCAGCCGUGGGUUGAGUUCGAGCUCAAGGAAAAAACGUCGUUGUCACGGCGCGCGUUCAUGCGCCAGGAAAACCACCGCGUCCACAGCCGCUUCUUCUUGCUUCUUUUUCUUCAGUGUGUGCUAGAGAGAGAAGUGUGCAGAGAGACGGAGAGAGAUAGAGCUAGAACCAGCUAGGCCAAGGGCUCGACACCAACAUCUUGUUUCUCAAUACACGCACCUCGUGAAGCAGAGCUCUACGAGUGUUAGAAUAAAUCCGAAGCCAUCGUCAAUCAUUCGAGAACCAAGCAAUCACACUAAGCGCAACACUAAGAUUUGUUAACGAGAUUCAUUGAUAUGACUACAUCUCUUGGGGCUGACUACGGGCGCUCCUUCCCGUGACAUCAUCACAAUACCGCACACCAGCCAUCCGGGCACCGGCACACGCCGCCGGCUUUCCCUUGCGUGCCUGUGCUAUUAUGUUAACAUAGGUUACAUCGUGUGUCUAUCCCUGAUAUAUAUGAGAGGCCUAGGAUAAGUGUCCUGUUAGGACACAACUCCUACCAUGUCUACACACAGUCCAAAACCAAGUCCAACUCUUGUAUAAUAAUAUUCGACACAACUCUAACAAACUCUACCUUGGCGAAUAUUCUUCACCACCUUGGAUUCAUCCAUGCGUCGAACCUCCAUGUACAUUGGACUUGAGAUACGCCAUGAGCACCGCUGCUACUCCUAGACUCCAUGUGACUCCACCUGCAACUGUAGUCCCUUCUCAUCUUCUUCACAGUCAACACUCGAGCAAAAUUAAGUUCCUCGUUACUCUACUUUGUGCUCCUAACUUUUGGAGAAUCCGUUCAACGCCAUCACACACCGACAAUUGUCUGUGUGAAAGUGAAUAAUUCACAUAUUGAACGCCACAUAUAAGAGUUACCUGAACUGAAACAUCACCGCUCUUUCUUGACUGCUUGUCUGAAACUUGAAGAAAUUUCACCGUCGCCCUGUGUCACCCUGAGUCAAAUUCAUAGUUUUCCCACCCUUCUUCCGGAUAGUCUCUGGCAUGCCCCACAACUAUAGCACUCCGCCUCCUUCUGUAUUUGUCAUCCGCACUUUGCCAUGUGCACCGAAGACCACAUAAUAUACGGUCAUGUACUCUCUUAGCUUUUGACAAUUUCAGACUUUCCGCCACUUUAUCAGAUUCUUCAUGGUCAACUCCUAUCCAUCAAGUAGCACCGAUAGACCCAGUCAUCAACUUGAAUCCGAUACUCGUCAACACUGCUUCAACACCCCUUGCACAAUUUGUCUGACCACAUGUCUGACCACCAGUGCCUUGCCCUGCCGUUGUGUCCCUUGCUUACCGCACGCCUCGUCGUUAUCACCACGCCGAGUCUCUACUGUCCCAGUCGAGUCUCCUGGGUCACGAACCCACACCACUCAAACCCUUACCGCAGAGAACCACCGAUCAUCACCGACCGAUGCCGAGUAUCACGUCUCCAUCAGACCAUUGUGCCCCAGUCCGAUCCAUGUGUCUCUCGCUUUUCUUGCUGAAAUAGGCUUCGUCUCUCCAUGCAUUUACGCCAUAGCCCCUCCAUCAACACAGAGUGAAGUCGUCCAUCAGACUCGAGCUCCACCAUCAAUAUGACUCCAUAUAGCUGGCUGUGCUACCCUGCGCCUGUCGACUUCAAGCUCUCAUGUGUAUACCGCCUUGAAUCAACCUCGUGUAAUAGUCUUGUCGAAGCCGCACAAGCCCUCAGGCCUGCACCACGUGUUUUCAUGCCUUAGAAGUCGGUCACCAUCAGCAUCACGCUCCUAUGUCAUCGUCGCCGAAAUCACCACCGUCUUCUGCUUUGACCAACAUCCCCGUUGAUCCGCAAAAUUGUCUAGUCCGACCCAGCCGAAAAACAUUUGACUGCAAUCAUGCUUCACCUUGCGUCGUGUCCGCCCCGCACUUCUUCGUGCAUUGCUUGACGCCCUGCGCGCAUGCAUGAUCCUGCGCGACGGUACGUCAGUGCAUGCGUGCCCUGCAGCUUAUCUAUGCUUGUUUGUAGCUUCCAUGUACGCUUGCUCAACCACCAACCAGCUUGUGUGUUGGACCCCCUUUGUAGCUUCGUUCAACCACCUACGUACAUCCUGGUGCACUCUUGUGCCUUUCAUGCAAACCUGCCCAUCGAUGGAUUCUUCUGCAUAUGAUUUUCCUUGUCUUCAUUUGCUAGCUUGAUACUAGUGGCUUGAAAUGAUGCUCCCCUUUGGAUUUGACAUAUUGGCCAUCCUCGGUGGCUAAAUUUCGUGUUUUGACCCCUUUCUCAAACUUUAGUGGGAUCUGACCCCGGUUGGAAAAAAGUUCAGAAUCUGAUUCUUUUUCUACCACUAUGGUCUUUAGUGAUAGGGUAACACUACCUACCACCAUGGUCUACAGCGGUAGGAUUUAACUGCAUCAUCACGUCAUUAUAACACAAAAAUGGCGGUAAGGUCUGCACCAUCUUCGCGUUCGAGGCGACGAAGUAAAGCCAAUGCCAAAGCGUAGCAUGCAUGUCUAUUCCAUUAUUCAAUGACAUGUCAAUCAGUGUGUAGGCUUUGCUCCAGUACAGUACAGUACUCCUACUACUAGCUGUAGGUUUUUCCUUUUCUUUUCUACUGUCUCAUGGGAAGGCUGCUGAGACAUGCAUACUAUCUGUAGCCUGUAGGUGUCAUUGAAUGAAAAUUUACCACCACCGGUGCUGCACCCAUAGCUUAGCUCGCUGCUUUAUUGAAGCAUCAGCUCUUCUUAAGAGCAUCUUCAACGGUCGCAUAAAAAUUCUGCGCUCAAUAAACGUUAUAGCGCGUCACUGUAGCAUUUUUAAUAUACCGGUACCAACUUUAUUUUGGCAGGCGUCUAAAAACACGCGACCAAAAAGCAGACAGUGCAAAUUGUGAAGCGCGUAAUUCGGCGCCCAAAAUAUGCUACGCGCGAUAGCGUUUUUCAGCGCGCGUCCAAAAACUUUUAGCGCUACAGCUCUUACUGGAGCUGUCCGGCAUUCAAAAAAUUAAACUUUUAGCGUGCGGAGCUUUUUUUAAAAGCUGUUGGAGAUACUCCAAGACACCUCCCGCGCUCGCACCUAGCCUCCUGACCUAUUGCUGCUCCUUGCGCAUGUCUCCAGUCCGUGGGUCUGCACGCUUUCCUGGCCUGCCCCGCACGUGUCCGUGCGAUUAGCCAGCCUCAUCGACCGAGCCGCCUGAUCGCGCACACGCUACUGCGCUAGGGUUCCCACGUGUACAUGCCUCACGCCGCCGCACACAUCAAUCUGCCUGCACACGUCCGAUCUCGACGAGAUCGCUCUUUUUUUUUUUCAUGUGUGGCUGUCUUCCGAUUGCUCUCUGACGCGAACGAAACUCCCGCCGCCAAUCGAUCUUUUCCGGUCGAUCUUGACCACCGCCGAUUCAAUGAAUUCUGAUCCACCUCUAGAUUAACAACCGCAACCUCAAAUCGAACCUUGCUCAUGAUAUCACUUGUUAGAAUAAAUUCAAGGUUAUUAUCAAUCAUCCGAGGACCAAGCAAUCACAUUAGGCACGGCGCCAAGAUUUGUUAAAGAGGUUCAUCAUGAUGGCUACAUCCUCGAGGUAUGGCUACAGGCGCUCCUCCCCCGUGACACCGUCACAAUACCGCACACCGGUCACCCGGGUGCCGGCACACGCCGUCCCUUGCGUGCCUGUGCUAUUAUGUUGGCAUAGAUACACGAUAUCGUGUGUCUAUCUUUGAUAUAUAUGAGAGGCGUAGGAUAAGUGUUCUGUUAGGACACAACUCCUACCCUGUCUACACACAGUCCAAAAUCAAGUCUAACUAUAACCUAUCUCAUAUAAUAAUAUUCGACACAACUCUAAGAACAAGAACCUCAAUGUUCAACAACGAGGUUAUGAGAGGAUACUUGUCGCCUCGCCUCGCUACACCUCACACCAGCAAGUAUGUAUGUCUCAUCUUUCAUCAAUGGUUGUUCAUUCGAGGAAAUUAACAAUAAUAACAGUUUGAUUGUCGACAUGUUCCCACUCCCAGGUUGAACUUUACCGUCAAUGCCAAGACAUCAGACUGCACAUUGUUGGCAAUGAUGAAUACGACGAGGAGCCAGUGUUUUUGCCGGUUGAACAACCUGACCAUAAUACACCAUACGCUUCCUUGACGAGUACAGGAGGAUCUGCUCGUGGCUUGAUGAGGUCGUUCAACGAGAGGCGUGAUUCUGGACCAUGGUUCAGCCGAACCUAUGGUCGACGCCGUACAAUUCAACAUCCUGCUACAUGUGGAUCCGCGUCAUGCAUUGUUUAACAUGCAAACAACUCCCAUCAUGCAUUUUUUAAUCAAUCAUGCACGGAUUCUUAUAAAAAGUGUCCAGAGAUCAAUGGUGUCGAACGUAGGUUCGGCUGAACCAUGGUUCCAUAUAACAUUUUCGGUCGUUCAACCAGUAAAACGGCGACGAUUGCCAUCCACACUAGGCUUGGACAUCGGGUGCUGCUACCCACCAUAAAGGAAAAGGACCAUGCAACCUUGUCAAGAGAGAUAUCAUCGUUCUGCUUUAGAGUCUUGAGGUGGCGACAUCUGCUCACUAGCCGCUCAGGUACAGUGAAAUUGACCUCCCUCUGUAAGUAUGAAAAACAAAAGUAUAGACAAGAAGGAUUCUGGAAAGUAACUUGUGUUCCAGGUCAAGUUCUCUCAAAUUUCUAUAGCAUGGUGAUUAGAAAGAAAUUAGAAAUUGAGGAUAGGCGGUGAAUUAUAUCUCAAAAGAGUGAUGAAACAGAGAUGAGGGAGAGAUAAAGAGUAUACCCUGACUUGAUUGAUUGCCAUAUCAGAUUCGCAUUCCCUGGCCUCCUCUUUAUGUAUCUUGCACUCUCUCGCACCUUCUUCCCCAAUACACACACAAGGACACAAGGUCCUUCCUUGUGAAGCAGAGCUCAACUCCUAGAACCUCAACACGGGGAGGUCCUUGUCGUCCCGCCUCCAUGUCUGUCUAAUGUUUAAGGAAUGGUAGUUCGUUUGUUACAGAAACUGUAGUACCAAAUACAUCAACUAGGUGUGCGCCAACGUUACUGCUACCAUGUUGUUUUGUCACUGUCUAAUCUCCUUCCCCACAAGGCCGAGCAAAUAAUAAUAGUAAUAUGAUUGUUGACAUGUUCCCAGGUAGGUCUUUAUUAUACAUGCCAUGAUCAAAUGCGUUGUAUAUUGUUGGGGAGGAUGGAUAUGAUGAUGAGCUUCCCGAUGAGGAGCUGAUGUUUUUGCCGGUUUAAGUACACGAAGAUCUGCUCGUGCCUUGAUGAGGUCAUUCAACCAGCAAACCAACAAACGACGGUGAUCAGCGUCCAAACUCCAAACCAGGCUUGAGCUUCCAAGUGUUGUUGUCUGCCAAAAAGCAAAAGGUGCCAUGUAAACAUGAGUAAUUUAGAUAUAAUAUAUAGUGAUACUAUUCAUCACCUAGGGUGCAGAAUAAGUUAUUUUUCACCCAAGGUAAUCUUACGAUCACCUCAUAACUAAAUUACGUAUAUGAGUGAAACACAAAAGUAAAAAUUAUAUGUCUUCCUGCAUAUAUAUGCAACAUAAUUAAUCAAAUUUGAGAACUAGUAUGUAUAUGUGCAAUUGAGAAAGAUUUCACAGGUAUCUACGUAGGUAGUCGACCAGGGUAGGGUGCUUGAGCUUAGUGAAAAUAUCGGAUUAGAGAACUAACAUGACUUUUUGGAGAAGAGUCGCGUGUGUGUCAACAAAAUCUUAAUUCUUUAUAAAAGUUAUUAGAAAUGCAACAUUUUGAUCGGUCCACUUGGCUUCAGUUUCAAUGUGCAAAAGAAAUCGUGAAAUAUUCUAUGUAAGAUUUUGGCUCUAGCCUUUCCAACCGUGUGAUCACAUAGGAAACAUGAGAAACUCUAGCCCACACAAAGUCAUCUCUCGCAAAAUGUGCUUUUAUGGGCCGAAAGAGAGGAACUAGAUGUGUGAUAUCUCCCAUAUGGUAGAUUUCUGUCCAUAUUCAUCUUUCUAUCAAUCAUAUAUUGAAUUUGAGUAUAUAUGUUCCACUCUAUGAAUAAAUAAAUAAAUGAAUUUAAGUAUGUGUAUCGAGGCAGUAAGGAUAUAUUAGUUAAAAAAACUAGUCUUAGACAGACGAAUGUUGUGACUAUGUGUGCAACAUCUUUUCUCAUUACCACGAAUGUUAAGAAUAUUGUCAUAUAUUACUACAUUUAUGAAAACAAAAAUUGCAAUCUGGCAUUGCUAAUGCGAAUAUAAAUUUCAUAGUUUGUAAGAGACAUGUAGUGUGAUUUUAUAUAUGCAACCAAGUUGGAUAAUAUUUUGAUUUGAUUAUUAAACAAAGCACUCACAUAUGACAAAACAAAUCGUCAGCUUGUAUUAUGCAUGGGACAUGUCGACGCUAGCUUCAAAUUCCAAAGUUACAAGAUAGCACCAACUCGGCUAACUUUUAUCGGAGUAUACAAUGCAUAAUAUGUAGUAAUGUACUUUGAACCGGGAAAUAGUGUGAGGAAUUGUGUGGUGAUGCAUAAGAGGAUCAGACCCCCUAUAUUGUGUACCGCACCUGAAUACAAUAUAUGUAUCUUUACUUAUGUUUAUGUAUUAAUUGUAGACAUCAAUGGAAAUCUCUUUGUCCUGCCAAGGUCCAAAAGUUGACGCAAACUGAGUGAGGCUUAGAUGGUUAGGUUUCAUGUGGUGGAACUAGCCCACUAGAGUUCAAGUCCUAGAUGUGGCAUUGGUGCUCAUAUUUUUUUGGAUUUACGUUAUGCUUUCUCGCGAUGUACGUUCUGUGGGAGAAGAUGUUCCUGUCAAUUAUGAUUUACGAGGUAGUGUGUGUGUGCAUGCGCACAUUCAUAUGGGUGAAUGUAUAUACAUGUAUGUGGGCAUAUGCGAUUGUACUGUGUUCACUUUUUUUUUACAAAAGUUGGCAUCCUUAGACAUCGUGUCAUAUAUCUACAAGAUACGAUGGCUAAUGGUGAAUUCAUCUUCUACAAUUUUUUUAUUCGUAAGUAAUCCCUAAAUACAAGAGGAUCUGCAAGGUUAAUUCUUCCAGUAAUUAUCAAAUCCUGCAGAUUCGUUUUUAUAUCCAAUUCGAUGGGCACUAGAAGUAGUGAACGUGUCUACAUUCAUCCUCCCAUUAAAUUUCAUAUACUUUUAGUAGGCAUUUAUUAUUAUUACUACUAUUCAAGAAAUAUAUUAUCUUUCCUAUUAUCUUUACUACCAAUGAUAUCCUAAAUAUCGAGAUAUUCUGUUUUAAUGGAUUUUUUUAGGAUAAGCACAAGCUUGAUGCCAUUGUAUCUAUAUAAAUCGAGUGUUUUCUAGGAUCAACCAUAGACAUACCAGUGAAAGGAGUAUUGCAUAGUGUUCUCUACCGCUCUCUGUGAACUUAGGCAAUGGCAAAUACUAGCAUCCUCCAAGUCUUCAUUGUUUUUAUCAUUGCGCAAGUUUGCUUACUCAUGAUGAUGGCAACACCGAUAGCGCAGGCAGCAGGCAGGCUUAUGGGAUACAAUCCAGUUUGCUGCCCUAGAGACAUCUAUUGUUGUGGGUUUGGCAGUGUGAUGGCCAAUGGAACUGCAUCCUCCACCAAGCCUUGAUAUGUGGUUUCAUUCUCCUCCGAGCUAUAAGCUAGGCCUAUAAAAUAUGCUUAAACGUGGUUGUGUUGUUUCAUAUAUGUAAUUGUGUUACUAUUUUCAGGAAAUAUUAUGUACAAGCUAUUUUUCUAAUAAAAGUGGGAGGAGAUUUUUAUAUAUUACCUGUCUCAAUGCAUAUCUCUCUGUCUUGACAAGAUCCAAAAGUUGGCAUCCCUUAGAUGUUGUAUCCUAUAUCUACAAGAUACAUUGACUAAUUGUGAAUUUAUCUUGUACAUUUAUUAUUUUCUAUCCAACAUUAACCCUAAAUACAAGAGGAUUUUGCUUGGUUAAUUAUCCCCAUUAAUUAUCAUAUCUUGUGGAUUCGUUUUUAUAUCCAAUUCGGUGGUCACGAGAUGCAGCGAACGUGUCUAGGUUCAUCCUCCCAAUAAAUUUCAUAUAUUUUUAGGAGGCAUUGAUUAUUAUUAUAAAUAAAUAUAUUAUAUUUCCUAUUCUCUUUACUAUUAAAUGAUAUCCUCAAUAUUCAGAUAUUCAGUUUCAGUGGAAUUUAUUAGGAGAAGCACAAGCUUCAUGCCAUUGUAUCUAUAUAUAUCGAGCAUUUUCUUGGACCAAACACGGAGAUACCGGUGAAAGGAGAAUUGCAUACUGUUCUCUAUCGCUCUUUGUGAGCUUAGACAAUGGCAAAUAAUAGCAUCCUCCAAGUCUUCAUUGUUUUUCUCAUCGCGCAAGCCUGCUUAGUCAUGAUGAUGGCCACGCCAAUAGUGCAGGCAGCCGGCAGGCUUAUGGGACAUGAUCCACCCUGUUGCCCUAGGGACCCCUGGUGUUGUGGGUUCGGCCGCGUGAUGGCCAAUGGAACUGAAUCCUCCACCAAGCCUUGAUAUGUGGUUUAAUUCUCCUCCAAGCUAUAAGCUAUGUCCUACAAAAUGUGCUUCAACGGUGGUUGUGUUUUCUUUUAUGUAAUUUGUGUUGCUAGUUUCAAGAAAUGUUGUGUAUAAACUAUGUUGCUAAUAAAAGUGGGAGGAGAUUGCUAUCUAUCUUGCUUGCAAUGUGCCGCAAAGAGAUUCAAAAGUGUUUGCUGUAGUGUUUUUAGAGGAUCAUAUCAUCCUAUAUUUUAAUGUUUAAAGACAUGCUACGAUCAUAAAGGAACCAUCGGUAGUUGAUUUCAAUUUAUUACUAAACAAAAAAGUUUAGCCAUCACAUAGAGUAGCAAUUUGUUGCAGACAUGGACCGAAUACCAUAUUAAUUCAUUUGUGCCAUUGCAUCACAGCAUAACUGAUGCAGAACCACGGAGCUAGUGUUAUCGGCACAAGGUUUUUUUUUGGCAGCCCGACGCUGAUGUAUUUGCUGGACCGUGUCAAAAAAUCGUCCAAGAGUCGAGCAACUUAACCUCAUGCAUGUCCCCGCUCUCGGCCCUCGCCAAAGAAAUCUUACUCAACCGAGCUUGUAAAACUACCAUCCGCAAAACAAAAAAAAGAGCUUGUAAAACUACAAAGAGUCGAGCAACUUGCUAAUCUAUGGGAACACGACCGUCCGGCCGAUUGUUUCAUGGCAAUGAGAGGGGGUGGAACUUCACUCAUGUGUCACCAUUCAAAGGAUCUCAUCAGCGCCAGUUCCAUCAGGCUGUCCUCCUGACACGAGUGAGACACCUUGGAGUGAUGAGAACGAGUAGAGCAUGCACAUCAGACCUUGGAGAAAAUGCUCGGGUCGGGCGCGUUCGUUGUGUGUCAAACCUUGGACAGGGGUGCGCGUGUCCUAGUGCUGGUGGUGUGUUUAUUGUGUAAGAUUUGAUCUGGUGGAAGCGUUCCUACUUCCGAUGGGAGCCGCGUUGCGUUUAUUUAUGAGAGACAGGAAAAAACCCUGCCGUGGCAUACAAGCUUACGACGAUCGCUAGGAUACAUCGAUGAGGAGACAGAGAAGGAUACGAGCGAAGUUCAGAUAGAGGGGUUUAGAUUACAACAGGUUUAAAUAGAAUUCUAACACCCUCCCUUAAUCUAAACUACCCUACAUUCAAAUUUCUCUUGAAAUUCCUCAAAUGGCCUUGCUGAAAGAGCUUUAGUAAAUCCAUCUGCCAAUUGAUCCUUGGAUGGAAUGAACCGUAUCUCUAACUUUUUCUCAGCAACUCUUUCUCGUACAAAGUGAAAAUCUAUCUCAAUGUGCUUGGUUCUAGCAUGAAAAACUGGAUUAGCAGACAGAUAAGUAGCACCCAAAUUGUCACACCAUAAACAAGAUGUACGAUGUUGCUUAAUCCCUAGCUCAUGAAGCAAUGAUUCCACCCAAAUAAUUUCAGCAGUUGCAUUUGCAAGAGAUUUAUACUCAGCCUCUGUACUUGACCUUGACACUGUGGCUUGCUUUCUGGCACUCCAAGAAAUAAGAUUUGACCCAAAGAACACUGCAAAUCCUCCAGUCGACUUUCUGUCAUCACUACAUCCUGCCCAGUCAGCAUCAGAAAAAGCACUAACAAGUGUAGAAUUCGAACGCUUGAACUGAAGUCCCAAACUCACAGUGUGCUUGAUAUAUCUUAUAAUUCUUUUGACAGACGUCCAAUGAGUGGAGCUAGGAGCAUGCAAAUAUUGACAAACCUUGUUUACAACAAAUGAUAUGUCUGGCCGUGUCAAGGUUAAAUAUUGUAAAGCUCCAACAUCACUUCUAUACUUUGUACUUUCCUGUUCAUUAAGUGGUUCUCCUUGAUAUGCCGAAAGUUGUUCUGAAGAAGACAAUGGCGUGGGUGAAGGCUUCCAAUCCUUCAUUCCCAUACGAGUUAGAAGCUUAGUAGCAUAUUUUUCCUGAUUUAACAUUAUGCCAUCUUGAGUCUUCUUAACUUCAAUGCCUAAGAAAAAAUGUAAGUCACCUAGAUCCUUCAAUGCAAACUCUGAACCCAAAUCACGCAAGAGAGCAUUAGUAGCAUUUUGUGAUGAGCUUGCAACUAUGAUGUCAUCAACAUAUAUGAGCACAAAAACCACUGUGUUUGCCUUAUUAUAAAUAAAGAGAGAUGUAUCUGCUUUGGAUGGAACAAAUCCAAGAUGCUUCAAUUGUAAACUUAACCUGGAGAACCAUGCUCUAGGUGACUGUUUCAAACCAUAAAGAGCCUUAUCAAGUUUGCAAACAUAAUGAGGUGUUUGUUUAUUCUCAUACCCUGGUGGUUGCCUCAUAUAGACCUCCUCUUUCAGAACACCAUGCAAAAACGCGUUCUGAACAUCUAGCUGUCUAAGACUCCAUCCUUUUGAAACAGCAAUGGCUAGCACAAGUCUUAUAGUAGCAGCUUUAACAACCGGACUAAAUGUAUCCUCGUAGUCAAUACCAUAUCGUUGCUUAAACCCUUUUGCAACUAGACGUGCCUUGUACCUAUCAAUGGAGCCAUCUGCCUUUCUUUUUAUUCUAUAAACCCAUUUGCAAUCAAUAAUAUUUUUACCUCUCUGAUUCGGUACCAAGUGCCAUGUCUUGUUCUUCAUGAGUGCACCAUAUUCUUCAUCCAUAGCUCUUUUCCACCUAGGAUCUCUAAAUGCAUCAUCUAAUUUUGCCGGUUCACCUGAAAUACACAACAUGCCAUAUGAUAUUGCGCCAUCCGUUCUCUUUUUAGGAUUUCUAAUACCUUUUUGAAGUCGAGUCAUGACUCGUGUAGCAUCAGGUUGUGGCCGUGCUGAAUUCUGCGCAGAACAUGAACAGAUUGGCUAGAUAUAGAAGAUCCCGGAGAGCUCUCAGAACUUGCCGCAGACGAUCCAGUGGCCUCUGGUGUGGCGGCCGUUUCUUCUGUGGUCGCAGAGUCGGCAGCCGCAUCUGUCCGAACCCUGGCGCGGUCUGCUGCAUGUGAGAGGAGCGCUCUGCAGCGAUUGGCUGCAUGCGUCGCAGCUGCAUGCGCCCGCGCCUGCACCCCUGACUGGCGGGCUCCUGAUCCGAGGCAGAUACGCGCCCGUGAUCCGAGGAGGAUUCCCGCACGGGCGUAGAAGGCGCCGCCAGAUCGCCCUCGAAUAUUGCGCCUGCUCCCUCUUCUCCUGGCACAUGAAAUAACGGAGCAUUUUGAUCAAUUUGAACACCGUUUUCUGCCCCGUUUUCUUUAGAGACCUGCACACGUACAGAAGAAGCACUGUUUCCAGGAACAUUAUCAUGGUGGUUAGUACAAUUGUUAUAUCCCCCUUGAUCAAAACUAGGAGACAUGGAUGGAAGGAGAAGUAUUUCUUGACGAAGGAGGGCACCGGCAUUGGGAUGAAGAGAUGCAAAAGGAAAUACUGACUCGUCAAACACAACAUCUCUGGAGAUAUAUACUCGCCCCGUAGAGAUGUCAAGACACUUGACUCCUUUGUGCAUAGGGCUAUAGCCUAUGAAAGCACAUUUUUUUAAACGGAACGCAAGUUUGCGUGUGUUAUAAGGCCGAAGGUUGGGCCAACAAGCACAUCCGAAAACUCUAAGAGACUUGUAAUCUGGUGAAAUACCAAAAAGACGAGUAAUGGGAUUCUCAAAGUUGAUGACUUUGCUAGGACGAAUAUUUAUGAGAUAUGUGGCAGUAAGAAAAGCUUCAUUCCAAAAUUUUAGAGGCAUGGAGGCGUUUGCUAGCAAUGCUAGUCCAACUUCAACAAUAUGGCGGUGCUUGCGUUCAGCAGACCCAUUUUCUUGGUGAGCAUGGGGACAUGAGACAUGAUGAGAAAUUUCAAUAUUUUGAAAGAAAGAAUUUAGUUUCUCAUACUCACCACCCUAGUCGGUUUGCAUGGCGAGAAUUUUGGAAUUCAAUUGUCGUUCAACAAGGUUCUGAAAAUUGCUAAAGACUUGAAAAACAUCGGAUUGUUUCUUUAGCAAAUAAAUCCAGGUAAACUUACUAUAAUCAUCAAUAAAGCUCACAUAGUAUGAAAAUCUUCCAACUGAGGUAGGGGCUGGUCCCCAUACAUCUGAGAAAACAAGUUGCAAUGGAGCAGUGGAAAUACUAGUAGAGAUAGGAUAGGGUAACUGAUGACUCUUAGCUUGUUGACAAGCAUCACAAACUGACUCAGAACUAGGCUCAUAAGAGAGCUUAUUUUUACUAAGGACAUGCUGAACUAUAACUGAAGAAGGAUGACCCAAACGACUAUGCCACUUUGCCGAAGAUGGUUUGGUGACACUCCAAGCUUGUUUAUUUGACCAUGAUGAAGAUGAUGAUAUGAGUGGAUAUAAGCCUCCCUCACACUUUCCUCUAAGGAUGAUUCUCCUCGUUGCCAAGUCCUUGACCACAAAAGAGUAAGGGUAAAAAGUAAUGAGAACAUUAUUGUCGAGGGUAAAGCGAUGAACAGAGACAAGAUUCUUGGAUGUAUCAGGGACAUGUAGAACAUUGUUUAGAUGCAAGUCUUUUAAGGGGGUUUUAACAAUUGAAUUUCCAACAUGGGUAAUGUCCAUACCUGAACCACUUGCCGUGUGCACUUGGUCACCUCCGUGGUAUCUUUCCCUCAUCGUCAACUUGUCAAGCUCCCCUGUAAUGUGCUUCGUAGCGCCAGAGUCUGCGUACCAGUUGGUGUCAAUCCCGUAGGAGUUUGUGACAAUAUUGGCCUUCUUUUCUUCGUGAUCCUCAUCAUACCGAUGCCAGCAGGUCCUUGCGCCGCCGGGGUGAUGCUUGUAGCAGAUCUGGCAUUCGGGAUAAUCCCAUUCUUGCUGUUGUGGCUGCUGUAGUUGUUGUCGUGGGUGUUGCUGAUGGCCGCCGUAGCCGCCACCGCGAGCAGAAGAAUAGGAGGGGCGGUCACCGUGAUCACCACGGCCACGCCCCCUGUUUCCUCGCCCACGGCCACCUCUUGGUCUGUACUGCCCACGCCCUUUGUAAAUAGCAUUGGCAAAGGAGCGAAAGCCGCCUGGUCCAUCUCCUAGCAUCUCCAUCCUCUGGUCGAAGGCAGAGAUCUGCGAGAAGAGAUCAUCAACCGUAAUAGAACUCUUGAUGGCGUCAACUGCUGCUACAAUUGGAUCAUAAUCCGAUCGAGUCCAGCCAGGAUGUAAUCCACCAUCUCUCCAUCGGUUACUGGACGACCCGCUGCAGCGAGUUCAUCACCGAGGCUCUUCAUCUUGGCGAUGAACGCAUUACUGGACAUGUUGCCCUUCUUGGUGUUGGAGAUUGCAAUCCUCAGAUUUGUUAUCCGAGACUGAGACUGCACAGCGAACAAGGUAGUAAGGGCAAUCCAAAGAUCAUGGGUAUUCUCCUUACCGAUGACUUGUGCGAGAAUCUCCGGGGUCAGCGAAUUGAGCAAGUAGCUUAGGACCUGCUGGUCCUUUGACAGCCACGGACCAUAUAGAGGAUUAGAUUCUAUGGCAGUGGUCUUGUCCGCCUUGGUGACUUCUACCAUCUUCGGUGGUGCGGCGUCGCUGCCAUCAAGGAGGCCGGUCACUUGCGCUCCACGCAAUGCCGGCAUUACUUGUGCCUUCCACAGGAGGUAAUUCCCCCUUGCAAGCUUUUCUGUUGGAGGUGUGCCGAGGUUGAGGAUGACGGCGCUUGAGCUUGCGGCCAUGGCGAAGAUAGGGUUUCUGGUUUCUGUGUUGCUAGAUAGAAGGGAAGAGGCUAGCUCUGAUACCAUGUAAGAUUUGAUCUGGUGGAAGCGUUCCUACUCCCGAUGGAAGCCGCGUUGCGUUUAUUUAUGAGAGACAGGAAAAACCCCUGCCGUGGCAUACAAGCUUACGACGAUCGCUAGGAUACAUCGAUGAGGAGACAGAGAAGGAUACGAGAGAAGUUCAGAUAGAGGGGUUUAGAUUACAACAGGUUUAAACAGAAUUCUAACAUAUUGAGGUUCCUGGUCAAGCUCUGGUUUACUUUCCUCGUGCAUAGUCGUCGGUGUUGUUUGAGAUGGGCGCGGUGUGAUGCAUAGGAAUCUUCGGGUGUAGUUUAAAGCCUCCGAUACUGCACAACCUUCAGAUAAGGCCUCCAUUGCCAGAGGAUCAGCAGCAUGCUCAUACCAUCUCCCCUGUGCUUGAAUCAAUCUCCCUGCAUGGUCAUGUACAUAUAUACAUGUAGGCCCUGACAUACGGAAGGUUGCACCAAUCCACUACUCUCUCCACGCCACCUUAUUAUUGCUCUAAAAUCAUGGAAGCAACUUUUUGUGACCACUAACACCUAAACCAGAUUAAUAAGCCAUGAACUCGAAUGUAGAGCUGGAACUUGGUCGUUGUUCAGUCUUCAACUCCAACCAAAACAACUUUGCCCAGGUGCAUUCAAAGAAGGCAUGUGUGCCAUAGUUUCCUUCCUCUACUCCGCACGGUUCGUAGAACUCAAUCCACUCAACGUAUCUAUCUCGUAGGAUCGUCCGGCAUAGAACAUAUUUGUGGAUCACCCUCAACGAGAAGUUACAAGCUUUCGGUAGCACCGCUAGCUUGCAGAGCCAUUAUCCAGCAUUUGUUCACCCUCUCCCCUGAAGCUUGAGGUCCUACCAUUAUCCACACUUCUUGCCAUGCCUCCAACGUUCUGUACGCAGAUCGUACGGUGAACUUUCCAAAUUUCUUGAGAUCCCAAGCCCACCUAACCUCACAAAAAUUCUCAACUGGCAUCUGCAUAUAGCAUCCACAUCAGGUGCAGCAAAAUUCGCCUCAAUCACCUCCAUGAUCAACAGUUCAAGUGCUCUGAGUUCAUGUACAGCUUAAAAUCUUCCCAAACUCUGAUUGAAGCUCCAUCGCCCACGUAUGCGACGACUUCGUUUCUUCGCGGUUUGUCUGCAGUAUGUGGAGGUGAUAAGCCAUGUCCUGGAGACCGUAGACCACAUCCGGACGAAGACGUCUUGAUCGACGUCUUGCGACGCAAAGAAAUCAUGGACAUCGAGGCCUGUAGCGAUCCACGUGACACGGAAACCCACAUAGACGGCAGCCACAUCCUCAAGGUGGAGAGAGACCUAUCACCUUUGAUGAUACGGAGGAAACCUCUCACCGUGCUAUGCCACCCAAGACAAGCACAUCCCUAAUUCGACGUGUUAAUAGUUCAUGUUGGAUGUAUGGCAUCUCUGAAUCAGGCUUGUCGAUGGCAAUUCUUCUUCUUUGGUGUGCACUAGAGGCUGGGGCGCCACCUAGUGGCGCCUCCUAAGGUGUGCCUGUGCGCACUUAUCUUGUUUGUGCACAUUCACCUGUCUGCCUAAGUUUUAGUUUAGUUGGGGCGGUGCUAGGUGAAAGGCGCCCCUUUCUAUUUGUUGUUUGCAAUUUAUGCCCAACUGCAAAGAAGCAAUGCUAGCCUGCUCUCAACAUAUUAUUAUAACAAAGCUUAAUCGCCUCAGUCAAAAGUGUUAAUUUGGUACAAGAAAAAGAGCGGACAGAAAAAUCCCCGCCAAAGCCACGAAGAUUAAAAUACGGUGCUAGCUACUGGAAAAAAUUGAGGUAAAUGAUAUAGCUACAACAAGUAAAGAUCUUCUAGAAUAGCCUUCCGUAAGACUACUUGACUACUUGUAGACUUUCAAUUAAGAAUACUUGACUACUUAUUGACUGGUUUUUUUACUGUCAAAUGUAGGAGACAGUAACAUUUGCACCCUUUUGUAAAGGGUUACCUCCUUCAGGAGUUUUACAAUAGUUCCACCAACUGGAUCAUUUUUGCAUUUUUGUCAAUCCCAGCAAUCUUCAUAGCUAGUCAAUUGAUUACUCCCAUGUGACCAUCCAUCCAUAAGAGACAGACAUGCAAUUGGAAAGCUUUAUGAAAAAGGUCAAACUCACAAAAUUGAAAACACACUGCAUUAUCAGGAGAUAUAUCAUCUAACCAAGCAGCAUUGGGGAAAUCACCACCCCAAAUAUCAUUUUUCCAACAUCUACCCACUGCCCAUGAUGCUUACCUGUUUAGAGAAGAAGUCUCAAGUAAUGCUUAUCUGUUGUGGUACUAAACAAGAAGAUGAUAAAAAAUAGGAAGAGAUUGUAGGUUGUGGUACUAAACAAGAAGAUGAUAAAAAAUAGGAAGAGAUCGUAGGUUGGUACCCAAUGCAUCAUUAUAAAGCUUUACUAAACAACGGGAACAAUUCCUAGGAACAAUGUACAGAGCUAGGGACAAUGAAAAAACCUCACGCACAAGAGUAAAUUAAACAUAAGCACAACACGCUUGAAAUAGACAUAUACUAAUUUGUCAAAGUCGAAAUAUCUAUUGUUUUCGUCCAAUACUACCAACAAGCUAAGCUAGAUGGGGCUGUAUUGGAACACCAUGAAGCAUCAAAUGUACAGUGUCAAGUAAUACACACACAUUGCCAGGUUCAACAACUAACCAAAAACACAGUAGUAAUCAACACAUACAUCUUCUCUUACAAAACAUGGUAAAGCAAUUGACGGGACUUGAGAAUUCAAUCAUCUCUGUACACGGGUGGGAAGAGUCAACUUGUGCCCAAACAUGAAGGGUUGUUUAAGAAUAUCAUUUUCAUCACAACGUAUCAUACACACACACACAGUAAGUGACAAACAUUAUCUUCCAGGAGAGUGCAGCAAGGCAAGGGAGCGAAGCCCGACGGACCUAUUUGGAACAAGGAUUGUGAUGACCUCUGCAAGAUCGACGCCGUCCGGCAGCUUCAGCUCCCUCAUCACCUGCACAGUCAAACACAUACUCGUUUGUGCAGAUCCACUUGCCAGAAUUGCAAUAUCUCAUCCUUCUGACCUCCUCAGCCUCAUAUUUCCUGCUACCAUGUGUACACCCAGAGAAGGCAAGUAUGUCCAUCUCAUACCGCAAGUGGAGAACCACAAAAGGGUCCAUUCCGACGAAGAAUUUGAACCAGACGCCUGCCCAACUCUUCUAUUUCAGGGGUAAAUCCAAGUGCAUGAAAACUGAAAUGGCACCUCGGUUUCUGAAUCUCCGUGGGUAGCCCAUUAUUUUCAAGCCGUGCACGUGUUUUAUUCGUAUGAAGGACCAUGUACUUCUUUAUCAUUGGUAAAAUAUGUUUUCCCAUAAAUUACUACUUACAAUAUUUAUUUGGGUACGCAUAUGGUUUAGAUACAUCACGAGAAAUGGAGAGAUGCAAAGAAACCUGAUUAUGGUAAUAGGAUGUAUCAGACCAACUAAAGGGUGAAAAGGAGCAAAGAUAUCCCUAUUCAACUCUCCUUUUCAGCCUUGGAGGCAGCUCUUCCAGUAUCAGGACCUCAUCUCUCAAUGAUGCUAUGAAGUAGUCUACAUCAAAUAUAUCUCGAAAAUCACUGUAGGGAAAGGAAGAGAAAGGGGUAAGACAAAGGCAGUCCUUAACUGAAAUGUUAAGAAUUGCAUUGACUGUAGAAAGAAAUGCUAAACUGGGCAACCCAAAAUGAAGUUUUAUCCAUGUACGGCACGAUGAUUGUGACAUUCCAGUAUCUUGCAACCAUCACCAUGUCGCAUACUGAUUUAACAGUGAACCUUUCAUGGUUCAGUUUUUUAGAUCAAAUGGCAGCACCGACUGCAACAGGGUUAGAAUUAGUAUUCAACUACACAUGAAACACACACAAGUUAAUCGAGAUAUUGAUAUGAACUGUUCACAUCAAAUACAGCAUGGUUGCCUAAGCUCUAAGGCAGCCAGGUUGAUGGCGCCCUUGCUGGCUACAUCGAUGGAUCCGGAGGCCUGCUAUGUAUUUUGUGACUAAGAAUCCUCGUUUCCAGCAUUCAACAACCCGAGAAAACUAUCAUCCAUGUAGAACAAAGCUAUACAAGCAACAAUUCCUCCUCAUGUUCAUUGACAGAAUGUAUCUGUCUACAAGAAGGAAUGCACAUACUUCCUAGAAGGUGUACAUAUAAAAGGAUUUUCAAUAGAAAAAUCUUUCACAAAACACACUCGAUCCAUGAUAAUUCAGGCCAUGGCAGCUAAUUUCCGAUUUAAGAGUUAAUUGUAAAAUUUCUGAGUUUGAAGUGUUGAGGAACAAUUUUUAAAAUAAAAAUAUAAAAGAAAUUAGCACUGUAUACAUUGCAAUUUCUUUGAAUAAACGCUAUCUCACACAACUCUUAAGAAUGCUAUUUAAACCCAAUGCCUCAUAGCAGACCCCAAAAGUAACAGUUCAGAUAAUGUACUAAACCAAAAUAUAUUCAGAUUCAAGUCUAUGAAAAUGAAGAUUAAAUUAUACCUGCAUGUUUAUAGCUGGAAAUUAGGUGACAUUGGUUCAAAUACAUAACAUUGCUGAUUGGUCUGUAAUUAUCUAUCAGAAGAGUUAGAUUAGCCAAUUUGAAGUAAGCAUCCAAGACAAUAUCCUCUGGAUAAACAUGUGUUGCACUACUUUCUGUUGCAAGAUAAGUAGGUUCUUGCACCUCCUUCACGCAAAAUGUAUUAUGUGAUUCUUUGGCAUGUGAGUUAGAUCACGGUAGAGUAGAUAGAGAUGCUGGGCACAUAGCAUAUUCCACAUAUGCCAGUCUGAGAACUAUGCAAGCCCUCUUGCAUUCAUCCAAGAAAACAAGUGCACAUACUUAUUUUUGCAAUUUUGCAACAAAUUGUUUUUAUGAAAGGAUAACCGGAUACUGGGAUUAGCACUAUAACAUUACGGCUAUCAUUCUACAAGUAAUUUAAUUUCCCUUGGGGUAAUUGCAUAGCUACGUAACAAUUAGUGAAGCGCAAUAUCAUGUAUCUACGGGUGCUAGGCUAUCCCAUGCCCAACCACUCACAGUAAUCCUCGCUCGAAAGCACUGAAUCGAACAACCCAAACAAAUCAACACAUCUGGAGAUCGACAGGGGGAGGAAGGGGGAGCAAGCGGUUGUACAUACCCUGCCCUUGGGUAGGAUGAGCUGCAGGCGGCGGGGGCAGUGAUGACCUGGGCGACCUCGGCCAGCAGCAGCGACCUGCCAUUUGGGCAAGGUCGACAACGAGGAUGCGGGCACCGGGAACGACCUCCUCUGGGCGUGGCUGCUCCCCCUCCUCGCCUCCAAACGUAACUUGACCAGCUGCCCGGGCGGGCUAGCCCCCUUUUGCGGCGAGGCCGACGUCAGCGAGGGGACGUGGCUGCGCACGCCCAUGGAGACGCCUCCCUGCGCGUGGAGCUCGUUAGGCGGCGCUGCUCAAAAUACCGCCGGCACGACCAUCUCCAUCUCGAGCCUCCUGCGACUUCCUCAGACGGGAGCUCGCGGCGCCGCCAGCCUCGCGCUAGCACCACCAUCGCCGGCUCUCAAUUUGCGGCCAUCGAAGGACGAGACCAGAGGGGAGAAGGCGAGGGAUGGUGGGUGGAGGCGGCACACAUGGCAAGGAGGAGACGAGUGUGGCGGAAGAGGCGGCGGCUGGUGGGAGGAGGCGACAAGAGAGAGAAGGGAAUUGGAGAAGGAGGCGGAACCCUAGCCGCCACUCGAGGAGAAGACGAGAAAGAGAUUUUUUUUUCGAAGAUGAGAGAGAGGUGGGACGUAUUUACCUUGGGGAGGUGUUAUCCUGGGGUAGUCUGCGACGGUAAAAUCACCAACGUGGCAUAGCUCAGAUAGCUCCUUUGAUGCACACCUUAUUGUUUUGGAUGUGCCUAGGGGGUAGCUUUUGAACGUGAAUCUAAUAGCAUUGAUGAAUAAAUAUUGUAAGCUGGUGGUGAAUAAAAUUUUCAGGAGGACGGGAGUUUAGUUUUUGCCUUGUUGUCUAAUAUAAUUGGUCAGACUGUUAUUGCUUUCUAAUUUGAGGUGCCGCUUGGCUGAUAGAUGUCGUAAUUUUGUUUUAGAAGCAAAAUAUAACUGAUCGGGUUUGACCAUUUGAGUAUCAGGUUGCUAAAAGGGGAAGACCCUCACAAAUCAGCAUAAUUUCAGAGGAAAAAAAUAAGUUCGCUUUCUGUGUUUGUUUUAUCACAUCUGGCACUCCCUCUGUUCACAAAUAUGUUCCGUGUAUUUCAAUAUGAACUACAAUAAUACGAUGAACUUCACUGCACAUAAAGGAUGGCACCAUAUAAUGAGAACAGAUUCGGAUUACAAUAUCCAGAUAACAUGUCGCUUCUUUACGGUAACGAGGACGACGAAUCACUCAGCUUAUAAGGCAAGCAGCAGUCCACACUUCUAUUACUCCCUCCGACUCAAAUUAAUUGACGCACAUUUGGUACAACUGUAGUACUCUCUCCGUAAAAAAUUAUAGGUGCGCUUAGGUCACAAACGCUCUUAUAUUUCUUUACGGAGGGAGUACAAAGUUGUACCAAGUCUGCGCCAAUUAAUUCGGAUCAGCGGGAGUAGUAGUUUUACACUCUACAUUGGGGUGAAUUUCUUGAAGGAGAACACCUUUUAUUGGCCAAAGGUCUAGAAACUGAACUUUUCUUUAAGAGAAAUGCACCCUGUUGAAACAAGUCAGGCUACAAGAAGGGCAGUUCCUUCACAUUCAACCAGUAAGAAAUUUACUCUGAUAACACACAGUACAUAGGCUUCAAACAUUGGGCUAGAUAAGAUAACUAGCUACUAACUCCAAGGAUAUCAGCAAACAUCUCUUUCCAUCCAUCCCAAUCCAGAUACAUCCAAGUGGCAAGCAUUGUAGGCAGUCCAUAUACCAGGCAAUUAUUGAAUCUUUCUCUCCAACGACAGAAGCGCCUAGAGAGGAGAUUACCAAAAAAAAAA